rnacentral:rRNA from 1 species
CACGUAGUUAGCCGGAGCUUAUUCCUCAGGUACCGUCAAAUUCCUCUUUCUUCCCUGAUAAAAGAACUUUACAUUACGAAUAACUUCUUCAUUCACGCGGCGUUGCUCGGUCAGGGUUCCCCCCAUUGCCGAAAAUUCCCUACUGCUGCCUCCCGUAGGAGUAUGGACCGUUCUCAGUUCCAUUGUGGCCGUUCAACCUCUCAGUCCGGCUACGCAUCAUCGCCUUGGUAGGCCCUUACCCCACCAACUAGCUAAUGCGCCACAGGCCCCUCCUUAAGCAGAUCUCUCUUUUAAAUAUAAAAGAUUCUUCCUCUAUAUCCUAUCCAGUUUUAUCCAUCGUUUCCAAUGGCUAUCCUCGUCUUAAGGGUAGGUUACCUAUGUAUUACUCACCCGUUCGCCACUAAAGUACCCCGAAGGUACUUCCGUUCGACUUGCAUGUAUUAGGCACGCGCCAGCGUUAAUCCUGAGCCAGGAUCAAAGAGACUGACCAAGGCACCAACGAGGGAACUA